GGGUGCUUCAUUCGGAGUAAAGUCUCAAGGAGUCUCAUUCCUGAUUUGAAGUGACCCACAUGGGUUCACAGUUCUCUCUCAGAACACGUACUCCUUUGAUUUUCUUGAAAGCCUUUGGAAAGCCUUGGGACACCUGUAGGUUCCACUGUGUGCCUGGAAGUAAAGGAUUCCGAGACGGUCGAGGCACAAGUUGGGAGAGCCUGACCCCUGAGCCACUGCUGAGAGGACAUCCUUCUGGGAGAGUAGCUGACCUGCACUGGACCUUGUGAACAUGAGAAACAAAUUUUCACUUUGCAAUCAGUAUGGACUCUGUUGGAAUGUAAUGUGUCAAUUUGGUUUCAUGCCUCAUCACACUGGCAGAUAGAAGAGGGUAAUGGCUGCUUUGGGGAGUGGAGGAAGCCAAAAAGAAGGCAAAGAGUGAAGACAGAGAAACAAGAUGUCAGUGGUGGUGCUGAGAAGGAAUAGAGAGACUUUUCUUCGUGCUAAGGGCCGCAGAGGGAGGAAUCCAGCUGAGGACUACACAGAAGCAUCUGGCUCCAGGAAUAACAGAUCAAAUGGUGACGAACUCCUUCAAAAUGUGACAACUUGGACAAAAGUCUGCUUAAAUCUUUCUGGAUGCAAACGAAUUUUGCCCUUUUGUGUAGAAACUAGUCCUAGCACAGAGAGAAGGGAAUUCAAUUUGGAUCUCAAGACCCCAGAGGAAGCCCUGGAUUUACUCCUUACUGGCUGUGUGAUCUUAGGGCAGCCAGAUGAAGACAGCUGAGAAGAGGAGGCCCAGUUGCAGGAAUGGGCUAAGUACUUGUGGAGGGCAGUGAAAUCAAUGGUUUGCUGCAGGCAGAAAAAAGAACAUGAAAUGGGCAACUGGGCAUUGUUUAAGCUGUUGGUUCACAUCAAGGAGCAACAAUACUAAAGAACUGGUAGAGAGAAGGCUCUAGAAACAGGAAAUAUUGGCAGGCUAGACCAAGUGCACCAAAAGUAUUUCAAAACUUUUGAGAUUAAGUGCUAGUUCAUGUCUGAGUAACACAAAACCAACAGACUGUGGCUUGGGAACCACAGCAUCAUUCUUAUGAAGGAAUUCUGGGAAAAGCUCAAGAGCUUCUCUCUCUGAGACUGUCUGCAGGCAUGCAAAUAGUGAUAAAUAUGUUUGGUCUUCUACACAUUUGCUAAAAUCUAAGCUCUGGAUGCCAGGAAACCUAGGAGAGCUGGGUUUGUUUUUUCAAAAAUAAUCACCAUUACAUUUUUGAUCACUGAAGAUGCAGACUUAUUGGAAAAAGAAUGUUUGAUUACCGAAAUGUACAGAAAGUGAGAGUUUCCCAUAAUCAACCACCCCCAUAACCACUGUUAACCAAUGUAUCUAUGCAAUUAAUUGUGUUUUUACAAAAAUGAGAUAAUAUUGUAUAUGUUGUGUGAUUUCAAUUAAAAGUGUCUUUUAUCUCAAUACUUAGAGACAAUUUUCAGUCUUAAUCUUCUUCCUUAACAAACCAACGAAAACAAGAUGUGUAUUUCCUAGUGUACUGAUUAAUAAAGUUAUUUUAACAAAUUCCUGUCGAUGAAUACGUGGGUUGUUUCUGGUCCUUCACUGUCUCAGACAGACUGUAGUAAGCAUUCUUGUGUUGUGCAUGUGCAUGGGCACUUCUAGAUCUAUACUCCUGGAUACACGUCUAGGAGUCAAAUCACAUCCAUUUCUAAAAAUUCACAUAUAAAAAUUAUGUA
rnacentral:lncRNA from 1 species